rnacentral:rRNA from 1 species
UACGAAGGGGGCUAGCGUUGUUCGGAAUUACUGGGCGUAAAGGGCGCGUAGGCGGCUCUGAUCGUCGGGUGUGAAAGGCCUGGGCUCAACCUGGGAAUGGCAUCCGAUACGGCGGGGCUGGAGUGUGGGAGAGGUUGGUGGAAUUCCCAGUGUAGAGGUGAAAUUCGUAGAUAUUGGGAAGAACACCGGUGGCGAAGGCGGCCAACUGGACCACAACUGACGCUGAGGCGCGAAAGCGUGGGGAGCAAACAGG